CUUGCAUGAGAGAAGAUGAGGUCGCUAUCAAUUCUACUGUGCCUAGCUACAAUGCUGCUCACUUAUGUCACCUGCCAAAUGAAUGGCCUUUCAUCCUGCCCUUGUCUCAAGACAUCAAAUACUAUACUACGCAAGGAAAAUAUAAUAUAUUACAAGCGACAAAAAGCAGGAAUUUGCCAUAUUGAUGCCAUUGGAUUUAAAACAGUCAGAGGUAGUUACUGUUUGCUCCGAUCCAGAAAAGCCUUGGGUGAAGAGAGCCAUGGAAUUUGUGGACAAGAAGAGGAAGGCAAAUGAACCGACUGUGCGCCCCAUAAACGCCAUAUUAUCAUUUAAAACAUCAUCUACACUGAAUGCAACAUAACCAGUGUUGAUUACUAAAAACUAUGCAUAUAAGUUAACAUAUAAUCAAAAUGUUCGUCAAUUGUUCUGUAUUAUAUAGUAUCUGCACUUUGUUUAUGAAGAAUAUAUUCCUCUCUAUGUGUAAUGUUUAUUUUCAUUUUUUGUUUAGAUGUGUAAAGGAGAUAGAUUUAAACUUGAAGUUAAAAAGUUACUUUAAAUAUAGGGGUGAUGACAAU